rnacentral:lncRNA from 1 species
UUUCUUUUGUUGCUAAGUUUCCUUAUCUUUUCAAGAGAGACAAUAAUACCAACUGGUUCAUAGGAUUAUUACAAAGAUUAAAUAAAUUAAUACAUGUGAAUACACAUAAAGAGAUUGGGAUGAUACCUACCACAUAAGAAGCAUGCAGUAAGUAUUAGCUAUUAUCCAGGUUAAGUUUGUAGUGUAACAAUCAUUGGUCAGAGAGAUAGAAUUAGGACAUGUGACAUGGAAGCCAGAAGAGUAGAGGGUUUCAAGAAGAGCAUGAUGAACAGUGCAAAAUGAUGCAGAGAUGUCAAGUAGGAUCAAACAAAUAGACUUGACACCUACAAGGUCAGGCAGUGCUGUGACAGAGGGAGAUGCCAAAUUACACUGGACUGAAAAUAUUUGUUGGGCCCUUUUUGUUCUUCAGGGCCAGGUCUCCUGCUGUUUCAGCCCUUAACAUGCUCCCAAGCAAGACUGAACCUGUGGCGGUUUGCUAAGGUGUAGCAGAGAGAACACUCGAUUUGGAGUCAGAACAACUGGGUUAAAGUCUCUGGUCUUCUUCCACUUGACAUCUGUGGGCACCUCCCGGAGCUCCAGGUGCCUCACUCUUAGAGGAUGCUUGUUCCUAUGUUACAAGGUUGGUGACAGGUUUAAGUGAAGAGGAAACAUAAUAGUAAGUCAUGAAUAAAUGGUUCUCUUCUGACUCCUCUUCUCGUUCUGACAUUCUAACUCAGUAGUUCUUCCUGUGUACCAGGUCUCGUGAAGUGGGGUAUUCCCAUCUUUCAGAGACUUGGCUUACAGGUUUGCAAUGAUAAUAAGAUGAGAUUAAUGCAUGUCAAAUGCUUAUGACAAUUUUGGAUUGCUGUUAUAUUCUAAUGGAAAGUGUUUGCCUGAUUUUUAGUGGUGCCUCUGUCUUCAGGUCUGCUUCCUGAGCCACUGUGUUCCUCAUGGUUUGUGAUGUUCAUCAACUUACCCAUCCUCAGGUGUUGCCAGAAGAAGCAAGUGCUUUAAAUAUUAUCAUUGACUCUAUCAAUGGAUCUUUUUGUUCCCUUUGUUUUGGUUGUAGAUAUGAGAAUCCAUUUAAGUGAGUUGUGAGUGCACUGCAGAAGUUUGUUUGAGGAUUUCAUCUGCUGUUCAGUAAACAAACAUGGGGCUCCUGCUGAGUUUCUACAGCUACCAAAGCAAAGAUGUUUUCAAGUGGAGUAACUGUCCAGUCCUGAUCGCUUUCACCCUUAUAAGUUGCAUUUCAGGGCAGGAUGUGGACUGAAUGAGACAUCCAUCCAAAGCUCCUUCAAACAUAAGCUGGGCUAUGAAUUAUUAAGACAAACCAGGCUGGUUAACUGAAGGACUGAUUGCUGGCUGGGGUCUUCUGGAUGUGACAAGAGGCAAAGGCUUGAAGACACCCUUCAAUUUUAGGAAGGUAUUUUGGUACUAAAGAUACUCCUUACUCUCGUCUUUUCCCUUUGCACUUUGUUUCAGAGGGAAUUUUGCUGAUGAGACUUUUUAUUUCCUGACCACUUUUUUGUGGAAAUCUGGGUAUUUUGCAAAUGUACAGGGAUUCUAGUCCUGAAAUGUAAACAGAAUAUACUUCACUGCAAACCUUUAGUGGACCAAAAUCUCUGCAGGCUGAGCUGUAUGGGUUAAGUUGGCUGCAGUAAUCUGGACCCACCUUCACCCAUUUACAGAAGUGACUUUCUGUUGGUUCUUUUAUCUUAAAUGCACUUCUUGGCCUGCUCAGAGAACACAUAGCAUCUAUGUAAUGAACAAGGAAAACUUCCAGGCUAUCAACAAAUAUAAUCCAUAGGAGUUUGACUGUGUGUGCCUACCUUGCGCCAGGUAAUGCAUCAGGUACUUUGAAUACAUUAUCCCUUUGAAUUAAGUACCCUCAUGAGGUGAGUACUCUUAUUGUUAUGAUAUCACAGAUAAGUUUACCC